rnacentral:rRNA from 1 species
UACGUAGGUGGCGAGCGUUGUCCGGAAUUACUGGGUGUAAAGGGUGCGUAGGCGGGCAGGCAAGUUGGAUGUGAAAUACCGGGGCUUAACUCCGGGGCUGCAUCCAAAACUGCAGGUCUUGAGUGAAGUAGAGGCAAGCGGAAUUCCCAGUGUAGCGGUGAAAUGCGUAGAGAUUGGGAGGAACACCAGUGGCGAAGGCGGCUUGCUGGGCUUUAACUGACGCUGAGGCACGAAAGCAUGGGGAGCGAACAGGAUUAGAUACCCUGGUAGUCCAUGCCGUAAACGAUGGAUACUAGGUGUGGGGGGACUGACCCCCUCCGUGCCGGAGUUAACACAAUAAGUAUCCCACCUGGGGAGUACGGCCGCAAGGUUGAA